GUCUACGGCCAUACCUCCCUGAACACGCCAUAUCCCAUCUGAUCUUGGAAGCUAGGAAGCUAAGCAGGGUUGGGCCUGGUUAGUACUUGGAUGGGAGACCACCUAGAAAGAUUGAAUGCAUUAGGCA
rnacentral:rRNA from 1 species